rnacentral:rRNA from 1 species
GAUGAACGCUGGCGGCGUGCCUAAUACAUGCAAGUCGAGCGAACAGACGAUGAGCUUGCUCCUCUGACGUUAGCGGCGGACGGGUGAGUAACACGUGGAUAACCUACCUAUAAGACUGGGAUAACUUCGGGAAACCGGAGCUAAUACCGGAGAAUAUAUUGAACCGCAUGGUUCAAUAGUGAAAGACGGUUUUGCUGUCACUUAUAGAUGGAUCCGCGCCGCAUUAGCUAGUUGGUAAGGUAACGGCUUACCAAGGCGACGAUGCGUAGCCGACCUGAGAGGGUGAUCGGCCACACUGGAACUGAGACACGGUCCAGACUCCUACGGGAGGCAGCAGUAGGGAAUCUUCCGCAAUGGGCGAAAGCCUGACGGAGCAACGCCGCGUGAGUGAUGAAGGUCUUCGGAUCGUAAAACUCUGUUAUUAGGGAAGAACAAAUGUGUAAGUAACUAUGCACGUCUUGACGGUACCUAAUCAGAAAGCCACGGCUAACUACGUG